UGGGAUGUGGCUCAGUGGUACAGUGCUUACCUCACACAUGUGAGGCACUGGGUUCAAUUCUCAGCACCACAA
rnacentral:tRNA from 1 species